rnacentral:rRNA from 1 species
CAAUAAGCGGAGGAAAAGAAACCAACCGGGAUUGCCUCAGUAACGGCGAGUGAAGCGGCAAAAGCUCAAUUUUGAAAUCUGGCGCGUCUGGCGUCCGAGUUGUAAUUUGAAGAGGAAGGUCCCGCGAGGGCGCCGGUCUAUGUUCCUUGGAACAGGUCAUCAGAGAGGGUGAGAAUCCCGUAUGUGACCGGAGGGCCUUUGCAAGUGGAGUUGCCUCGUCGAGUCGAGUUGUUUGGGAAUGCAGCUCAAAGUGGGAGGUAAAUUUCUUCCAAAGCUAAAUACGGGCCAGAGACCGAUAGCGCACAAGUAGAGUGAUCGAAAGAUGAAAAGCACUCCGGCAGGGGGGUUAAACAGCACGUGAAAUUGUUGAAAGGGAAGCGCUUGCAACCAGACGUGCGGCGGUGGCAUGUGCCUAGCUGCAGGGCAGCGGCGGUUUGGGCGGUCGGAGAAAGACCUGGGGAAUGUGGCUCCUUCGGGAGUGUUAUAGCCUCGGGUGGAAUGCGAUCUGCCGGGACCGGCGCUGGCGUAAUGGUUGUAAGCGGCCCGUCUUGAAACACGGACCAAGGAGUCUAACAUCUAUGCGAGUCUUUGGGUGUCAAACCCACAGGCGCAAUGAAAGUGAACGGAGGUGGGAACCCUUCGGGGUGCACCAUCGACCGAUCCUGAAGUCUUCGGAUGGAUUUGAGUAUGAGCAUAGCUGUUGGGACCCGAAAGAUGGUGAACUUUGCUUGGAUAGGUUGAAGCCAGAGGAAACUCUGGUGGAGGACCGAUCGGGGUUCUGACGUGCAAAUCGAUCUCCAAAUUUGAGCAUAGGGGCGAA